GCUUGUCUCAAAGAUUAAGCCAUGCAUGUCUAAGUGUAAAUAAGUCUAUACUGUGAAACUGCGAAUGGCUCAUUAAAUCAGUUAUCGUUUAUUUGAUGAUCUCUUACUACUUGGAUAACCGUAGUAAUUCUAGAGCUAAUACAUGCACAAAAUCCCGACUUACGAAGGGAUGUAUUUAUUAGAUAAAAAACCAAUGCAGGCAACUGCUCUCUUGGUGAUUCAUAGUAACUUUUCGGAUCGCACGACUUCACGUUGGCGACAGUUCAUUCAAAUUUCUGCCCUAUCAGCUUUCGACGGUACUGUAGUGGACUACCGUGGCAUUAACGGGUGACGGAGAAUUAGGGUUCGAUUCCGGAGAGGGAGCCUGAGAAACGGCUACCACAUCCAAGGAAGGCAGCAGG
rnacentral:rRNA from 1 species